CACGCAGGCGGGUUUGUUAAGUCAGGGGUGAAAUCCCGAGGCUCAACCUCGGAACUGCCUUUGAUACUGGCGACCUUGAGUCCGGGAGAGGUGAGUGGAACUCCGAGUGUAGAGGUGAAAUUCGUAGAUAUUCGGAAGAACACCAGUGGCGAAGGCGGCUCACUGGCCCGGUACUGACGCUGAGGUGCGAAAGCGUGGGGAGCAAACA
rnacentral:rRNA from 1 species